rnacentral:rRNA from 1 species
UGCAAGUCGAGCGGUACAGAGAGUAGCUUGCUACUUUGCUGACGAGCGGCGGACGGGUGAGUAAUGCUUGGGAACAUGCCUUGAGGUGGGGGACAACAGUUGGAAACGACUGCUAAUACCGCAUAAUGUCUACGGACCAAAGGGGGCUUCGGCUCUCGCCUUUAGAUUGGCCCAAGUGGGAUUAGCUAGUUGGUGAGGUAAUGGCUCACCAAGGCAACGAUCCCUAGCUGGUUUGAGAGGAUGAUCAGCCACACUGGGACUGAGACACGGCCCAGACUCCUACGGGAGGCAGCAGUGGGGAAUAUUGCACAAUGGGCGCAAGCCUGAUGCAGCCAUGCCGCGUGUGUGAAGAAGGCCUUCGGGUUGUAAAGCACUUUCAGUCAGGAGGAAAGGUUAGUAGUUAAUACCUGCUAGCUGUGACGUUACUGACAGAAGAAGCACCGGCUAACUCCGUGCCAGCAGCCGCGGUAAUACGGAGGGUGCGAGCGUUAAUCGGAAUUACUGGGCGUAAAGCGUACGCAGGCGGUUUGUUAAGCGAGAUGUGAAAGCCCCGGGCUCAACCUGGGAACUGCAUUUCGAACUGGCAAACUAGAGUGUGAUAGAGGGUGGUAGAAUUUCAGGUGUAGCGGUGAAAUGCGUAGAGAUCUGAAGGAAUACCGAUGGCGAAGGCAGCCACCUGGGUCAACACUGACGCUCAUGUACGAAAGCGUGGGGAG